CAGGCUUAACACAUGCAAGUCGAGGGGCAGCAUUUUAGUUUGCUUGCAAACUAAAGAUGGCGACCGGCGCACGGGUGAGUAACACGUAUCCAACCUGCCGAUAACUCGGGGAUAGCCUUUCGAAAGAAAGAUUAAUAUCCGAUGGUAUAUUAAAACCGCAUGGUUUUACUAUUAAAGAAUUUCGGUUAUCGAUGGGGAUGCGUUCCAUUAGUUUGUUGGCGGGGUAACGGCCCACCAAGACUACGAUGGAUAGGGGUUCUGAGAGGAAGGUCCCCCACAUUGGAACUGAGACACGGUCCAAACUCCUACGGGAGGCAGCAGUGAGGAAUAUUGGUCAAUGGACGAGAGUCUGAACCAGCCAAGUAGCGUGAAGGAUGACUGCCCUAUGGGUUGUAAACUUCUUUUAUAUGGGAAUAAAGUAUUCCACGUGUGGGAUUUUGUAUGUACCAUAUGAAUAAGGAUCAGCUAACUCCGUGCCAGCAGCCGCGGUAAUACGGAGGAUCCGAGCGUUAUCCGGAUUUAUUGGGUUUAAAGGGAGCGUAGGUGGAUUGUUAAGUCAGUUGUGAAAGUUUGCGGCUCAACCGUAAAAUUGCAGUUGAAACUGGCAGUCUUGAGUACAGUAGAGGUGGGCGGAAUUCGUGGUGUAGCGGUGAAAUGCUUAGAUAUCACGAAGAA
rnacentral:rRNA from 1 species